rnacentral:snRNA from 1 species
GGAUGUGAGGGAGAUCUGUCACCCCAUUGAUAGCCAGGGUUGAUUUGGCUGAUCUGGCUGGCUAGGCGGGUGUCCCCUUCCUCCCUUACCGCUCCAUGUGCGUCCCUCCCGAAGCUGCGCGCUUGGUUCAAGAGGAUGACCUUCCCUGAAUAGAGGAGGACCAGUCUUCAGUCAAGGGUAUACUACUGCACUCCCAUGCUAGAACCUCCAAACAAGCUCUCAAAAAAAUGUCCUCAAGUAAUGCUGUACCAUGUACAAAUGAACAUACAAAAUGAAAUUAUUAUAAAAAUAAAAGUACCAAUUUAUUUUUGUUU